UACGGAGAGUGCAAGCGUUGUUCGGAAUCAUUGGGCGUAAAGAGCGUGUAGGCGGCCUGUUAAGUCUGGUGUGAAAGCCCUCGGCUUAACCGAGGAAGUGCAUUGGAUACUGGCAGGCUUGAGUACGGGAGAGGGAAGCGGAAUUCCCAGUGUAGAGGUGAAAUUCGUAGAUAUUGGGAGGAACACCAGUGGCGAAGGCGGCUUCCUGGACCGAUACUGACGCUGAGACGCGAAAGCGUGGGGAGCAAACAGG
rnacentral:rRNA from 1 species